AGGGAAGCUGGUGAGGCCUCUGAAAGAGGCCGAGGCCGGCACGGUCCCGCCACUGUAAGUGGGGAGGGCCGUCCCGUUUCGCUACGGCGAAGCCACUGUCCGUGUCGCACGGAUGGGAAGGCGGGACGGUCGCGACGAUCCACGAGUCAGGAGACCU
rnacentral:ncRNA from 28 species